CAUCCCUACCCCAUAUCCCUAUGUUUUGGUGUUGUAUGCUUGUAUGAGUACUUUCCAUGUACAUCCCUUCCCCAAAUACCCAUAGCUUAAAUCUGUUUGUUGCAAUUAUUUUUAUGUCAAUCCCUUCCCCUUAAUUCCCAAUUUAUGUGUGAGUAUUAUUUUAGACUAGGGUGGCACUCCAUUGCCACCCCUAGUUUGGAAUCAGGUUGCUCUAAACCUAUACUCAGAUCACUCCCAUUCCCUUAACCCAUACUAUAUGUUGAGCUUGACUCAGCUCGGUGCUGUCCUAAU
rnacentral:lncRNA from 1 species